CAGAAGAUGAAGAGCAACAACUUUUGCAUAAAGUGAUAAACUUAUGGGAAAAGAAGGGACUACUUUUAUAUAGCGACCUCGUGGAGUCCACAUUUGAAAAGCUCAAGUUGCCUAGCAGGAAGGUGGAUGCUUUAGAUCAUUUUCAAAAAUGCUUUCUGAUUUUAAAAUUGCACCAUCAGAGAGUGGAC
rnacentral:lncRNA from 1 species